rnacentral:ncRNA from 1 species
CAGCGGUGCUUUAUAUCCACCUAGAGGAGCCUGUUCCAUAACCGAUGAUCCCCGAUUUACCUCACCACUCCUUGCUAAUUCAGCCUAUAUACCGCCAUCUUCAGUUAACCCUAAAAAGGAAAUAAAGUAAGCCUAAUCAGUAUUACUAAAGAAGUUAGGUCAAGGUGUAGCCCAUGGAGUGGAGCGAAAUGGGCUACAUUUUCUAUUACUAGAACAUUACGAAACUCUACGUGAAAUCCGUAGAAUAAAGGAGGAUUUAGUAGUAAAUUAAAACUAGAGUGUUUAAUUGAAUAGAGCAAUGAAGCACGCACACACCGCCCGUCACCCUCCUCAAUUUCUCAACAAUUAAAAGUACAUAACACCUAAUUACAAAAGAUUGAGAGGAGACAAGUCGUAACAAGGUAAGUGUACUGGAAAGUGCACUUGGAAAAAUCAAAAU